GUGGACGCUUGCCUUAAGGAUUAAGCCAUGCAAGCCAGCGAAGGUAACGGAGCGGCGAACGGCUCAGUAGGACAGGGACAUCUGACCAUUGUACAGGAUAACCGCGGUAAUCUGUGGCUAAUACUAUAGUGGGUGAGACCCUGGCCUAUCAGCUUGGCGGUACGGUAAGUGCGUACCGUGGCGACGACGGGUAGCGGGGAAUCGGGGUUUGAUUCCGGAGAGGGAGCCUGAGAGAUGGCUGCCACGUCCAAGGACGGCAGCAGGCGCGGAACUUACCCACUUGGAGGACCAGAGGUAGUGACGAGGCGUUUUGAAUGAGAACAGUGUAAAAAGCUGAUUGAAAGCUACUGGAGGGCAAGUCUGGUGCCAGCAGCCGCGGUAAUUCCAGCUCCAGGAGCGUCUGUGUGUGUUGCUGCGGUUAAAGAGUGCGUAGUCGGGUUUUUUGCCAGCAAUAAAGGUGCGGUCUUCAACUGUGCAUUGUGCUGGUACUUAAAUCUAGGGACCGGAGAAGGGCAAUGGUAUUCGACAGCGAGGGGUGAAAACUGAUGACCUGUUGAGGAGCGACUGAGGCGAAAGCGGUUGUCCGGGACGGGUUCGACGAUCAAGCGCGUGAGCAGGAGGAUCGAAGGCGAUUAGAGACCGUCGUAGUUCCUGCAGUAAACGAUGCCAACGGGAUUGCAAGCUAUGUGAUUCAAGGGAAACCGAGUGUAUGGGCUCCGGGGAUAGUACGGGCGCAAGCCAGAAACUUGAAGAAAUUGACGGAAGGACACCACAAGGAGUGGAGUGUGCGGGUUAAUUUGACUCAACGCGGGACAACUUACCGGGGCAGGCAGUAUUUUGAGAAGGGCAUAGAUUAGUUCUAUGUUCUGAUGAUGCUGCGCGUGGUGCAUGGCCGUUCUUAACACGUGGGGUGACCUGUCUGGUUAAAUCCGAUAACGCGUGAGACCCUGGAUGAUGACGAUGCUCGAUGAGAGUAGGGAAGCUCGGGUCGAUAACAGGUCUGUGAUGCCCGUAGAUGUCCCGGGCGCCACGCGCACUACAGUGGGAGAGGUUACGUGAAACGGAGCUCUCUUGCGGUUGGGAUUGACGUUUGUAAAUAUGUCAUGAACGCGGAAUUCCUAGUAGCGUGCCGUCACUAACGGCAGGCGAAUGAGUCCCUGUUCUUUGUACACACCGCCCGUCGUUAUCUAAGAUGGAUGUGCGGAUGAAGUUGGCUAGGCCAAAAGAAUCCGUGCCACUAGAUUGGAUACAAGUCGUAACAAGGUUGCAGUAGGUGAACCUGCCGCAGGAUCAAUAAGCAGAGCGUUUUUGGGUUUAAUAUGUAUGUAU
rnacentral:rRNA from 1 species